rnacentral:siRNA from 1 species
AAUAAACUCAUCUCAAGUCUUUAU